UGGCGACCGGGUGAGUAACACGUGACUAACCUACCUUCGAGUGGGGAAUAACCUCGGGAAACCGGGGCUAAUACCGCAUAAUGUCUUCGGACCAAAGGAGCAAUUCGCUUGAAGAGGGGGUCGCGGCCGAUUAGCUAGUUGGCGGGGUAACGGCCCACCAAGGCAAUGAUCGGCAGCCGGCCUGAGAGGGCGCACGGCCACACUGGAACUGAAACACGGUCCAGACUCCUACGGGAGGCAGCAGUGGGGAAUUUUGCGCAAUGGGGGAAACCCUGACGCAGCAACGCCGCGUGGAGGAUGAAGCCCCUUGGGGUGUAAACUCCUUUCGAUCGGGACGAUAAUGACGGUACCGGAUGAAGAAGCACCGGCUAACUCUGUGCCAGCAGCCGCGGUAAUACAGAGGGUGCAAGCGUUGUUCGGAAUUACUGGGCGUAAAGGGUGCGUAGGCGGUGCGGUAAGUCUGCUGUGAAAUCUCCGGGCUCAACUCGGAGCCUGCAACGGAAACUGCCGUGCUGGAGUAUGGGAGAGGUGAGUGGAAUUCCCGGUGUAGCGGUGAAAUGCGUAGAUAUCGGG
rnacentral:rRNA from 1 species